UACGGAGGGUGCAAGCGUUAAUCGGAAUUACUGGGCGUAAAGCGUGCGCAGGCGGUUUGUUAAGUCUGUUGUGAAAUCCCCGAGCUCAACUUGGGAAUUGCAAUGGAUACUGGCAGGCUGGAGUAUGGUAGAGGAAGGUGGAAUUCCCGGUGUAGCAGUGAAAUGCGUAAAGAUCGGGAGGAACACCAGUGGCGAAGGCGGCCUUCUGGACCAAUACUGACGCUCAUGCACGAAAGCGUGGGGAGCAAACAGG
rnacentral:rRNA from 1 species